GACGAACGCUGGCGGCGUGCUUAACACAUGCAAGUCGAACGGAAAGGCCCUGCUUGCGGGGUACUCUAGUGGCGAACGGGUGAGUAACACGUGGGUGAUCUGCCCUGCACUUCGGGAUAAGCCUGGUAAACUGGGUCUAAUACCGGAUAGGUGCCAUCUUUAGUGUGAUGGUUGGAAAGUUUUUUGGGUGUUGGAUGAGCUCGCGGCCUAUCAGCUUGUUGGUGGGGUAAUGGCCUACCAAGGCGGCGACGGGUAGGCGGCCUGAGAGGGUGGACGGCCACAUUGGGACUGAGAUACGGCCCAGACUCCAACGGGAGGCAGCAGGGGGGAAUAUUGCACAAUGGGCGCAAGCCUGAUGCAGAGACGCCGGGUGGGGGAGGACGGCCUUCGGGUUGUAAACGCCGUUCGCUAGGGACGAAGCAUUUUGUGACGGUACCUAGAGAAGAAGCACCGGCUAACUACGUG
rnacentral:rRNA from 1 species